rnacentral:rRNA from 1 species
UAGUGGCGCACGGGUGAGUAAUAUAUAGAUAACGUGCCUCUUAGUCUGGGAUAGCCAUUGGAAACGAUGAUUAAUACUAGAUACUCCUUCUCAAUCCAAUUUGAGUCGGGAAAGUUUUUCGCUAAGAGAUCGGUCUAUAUCCCAUCAGUUAGUUGGUAAGGUAACGGCUUACCAAGGCAAUGACGGGUAGCGGGUUUGAGAGGAUGAUCCGCCACACUGGUACUGAGACACGGACCAGACUCCUACGGGAGGCAGCAGUGAGGAAUAUUGCGCAAUGGGGGAAACCCUGACGCAGCGACGCCGCGUGAGUGAGGAAGGCCUUCGGGUCGUAAAGCUCUGUCAGAUGGGAAGAAGUGUUAUAUGGUUAAUACCCUUAUAAUUUGACGGUACCAUCAAAGGAAGCACCGGCUAACUCCGUGCCAGCAGCCGCGGUAAUACGGAGGGUGCAAGUGUUGUUCGGAAUCACUGGGCGUAAAGGGCGCGCAGGCGGUCUGUUAAGUCAGAUGUGAAAGCCCACGGCUUAACCGUGGAAGUGCAUUUGAAACUGGCGGACUUGAGUAUCAGAGGGGAAAGUGGAAUUCCCGGUGUAGAGGUGAAAUUCGUAGAUAUCGGGAGGAAUACCGGUGGCGAAGGCGACUUUCUGGCUGAAUACUGACGCUGAGGCGCGAAAGCGUGGGGAGCAAACAGGAUUAGAUACCCUGGUAGUCCACGCCCUAAACGAUGAACACUAGUCGUCGGAAUGCUAGUCAUUUCGGUGAUGCACUUAACAGAUUAAGUGUUCCGCCUGGGGAGUACGGUCGCAAGAUUAAAACUCAAAGGAAUAGACGGGGACCCGCACAAGUGGUGGAGCAUGUGGUUUAAUUCGAAGAUACGCGAAGAACCUUACCUAGCCUUGACAUUGAUAGAACACCCUAGAGAUAGAGUGGUGCCCUUCGGGGAGCUUGAAAACAGGUGCUGCACGGCUGUCGUCAGCUCGUGUCGUGAGAUGUUGGGUUAAGUCCCGCAACGAGCGCAACCCUCGUCCUUAGUUGCCAGCAGGUUAAGCUGGGCACUCUAAGGAGACUGCCUUCGCAAGGAGGAGGAAGGUGAGGACGACGUCAAGUCAUCAUGGCCCUUAUGGCUAGGGCUACACACGUGCUACAAUGGGGCGUACAGAGAGUUGCGAUACCGCGAGGUGGAGCCAAUCUCAUAAAGCGUCUCUCAGUUCGGAUAGCAGUCUGCAACUCGACUGCUUGAAGCUGGAAUCACUAGUAAUCGUAGAUCAGCAAUGCUACGGUGAAUACGUUCCCGGGUCUUGUACUCACCGCCCGUCACACCAUGGGAGUUGAUUUCACCCGAAAUUGG